rnacentral:rRNA from 1 species
GGAAUAUUGGUCAAUGGACGGAAGUCUGAACCAGCCAUGCCGCGUGGAGGAAGAAGGUCCUAUGGGUUGUAAACUCCUUUUGUUCCAGAGUAAUAAGGUCUUUGCGAAGACCGAUGAGAGUAUGGGGCGAAUAAGCAUCGGCUAACUCCGUGCCAGCAGCCGCGGUAAUACGGAGGAUGCGAGCGUUAUCCGGAUUUAUUGGGUUUAAAGGGUGCGCAGGCGGGCUGUUAAGUCAGCGGUGAAAUGUCCCGGCUCAACCGGGGCCCUGCCGUUGAUACUGGCAGCCUGGAGUACGGACGGCGCCGGCGGAAUGUGUCAUGUAGCGGUGACAUGCUUAGAUAUGACACAGAACACCGAUCGCGAAGGCAGCUGGCGAGGCCGGUACUGACGCUCAGGCACGAAAGCGUGGGGAGCAAACA